rnacentral:rRNA from 1 species
GGGGAAUAUUGGGCAAUGGGGGAAACCCUGACCCAGCAACGCCGCGUGAGUGAAGAAGGCCUUCGGGUUGUAAAGCUCUGUCAUUAGGGAAGAAGAAGUGACGGUACCUAAUGAGGAAGCCCCGGCUAACUACGUGCCAGCAGCCGCGGUAAUACGUAGGGGGCGAGCGUUGUCCGGAAUUACUGGGCGUAAAGGGUGCGUAGGCGGCGUGUUAAGUUGGAUGUGAAAUACCCGGGCUUAACCAGGGGGGUGCAUUCGAUACUGGCAGGCUAGAGUGCAGGAGAGGGAAGCGGAAUUCCUAGUGUAGCGGUGAAAUGCGUAGAUAUUAGGAGGAACACCAGUGGCGAAGGCGGCUUUCUGGACUGUAACUGACGCUGAUGCACGAAAGCGUGGGGAGCAAACAG